rnacentral:rRNA from 1 species
AAUGCAGUCGAGCGGACAGAUGGGAGCUUGCUCCCUGAUGUUAGCGGCGGACGGGUGAGUAACACGUGGGUAACCUGCCUGUAAGACUGGGAUAACUCCGGGAAACCGGGGCUAAUACCGGAUGCUUGUUUGAACCGCAUGGUUCAAACAUAAAAGGUGGCUUCGGCUACCACUUACAGAUGGACCCGCGGCGCAUUAGCUAGUUGGUGAGGUAACGGCUCACCAAGGCAACGAUGCGUAGCCGACCUGAGAGGGUGAUCGGCCACACUGGGACUGAGACACGGCCCAGACUCCUACGGGAGGCAGCAGUAGGGAAUCUUCCGCAAUGGACGAAAGUCUGACGGAGCAACGCCGCGUGAGUGAUGAAGGUUUUCGGAUCGUAAAGCUCUGUUGUUAGGGAAGAACAAGUACCGUUCGAAUAGGGCGGUACCUUGACGGUACCUAACCAGAAAGCCACGGCUAACUACGUGCCAGCAGCCGCGGUAAUACGUAGGUGGCAAGCGUUGUCCGGAAUUAUUGGGCGUAAAGGGCUCGCAGGCGGUUCCUUAAGUCUGAUGUGAAAGCCCCCGGCUCAACCGGGGAGGGUCAUUGGAAACUGGGGAACUUGAGUGCAGAAGAGGAGAGUGGAAUUCCACG